rnacentral:rRNA from 1 species
CCUACGGGAGGCUGCAGUGAGGAAUAUUGGUCAAUGGACGAGAGUCUGAACCAGCCAAGUAGCGUGAAGGAUGACUGCCCGAUGGGUUGUAAACUUCUUUUAUAUGGGAAUAAAAUGUUCCACGUGUGGGAUUUUGUAUGUACCAUAGGAAUAAGGAUCGGCUAACUCCGUGCCAGCAGCCGCGAUAAUACGGAGGAUCCGAGCGUUAUCCGGAUUUAUUGGGUUUAAAGGGAGCGUAGGUGGAUUGUUAAGUCAGUUGUGAAAGUUUGCGGCUCAACCGUAAAAUUGCAGUUGAAACUGGCAGUCUUGAGUACAGUAGAGGUGGGCGGAAUUCGUGGUGUAGCGGUGAAAUGCUUAGAUAUCACGAAGAACUCCGAUUGCGAAGGCAGUUCACUGGACUGCAACUGACACUGAGGCUCGAAAGUGUGGGUAUCAAACAGGAUUAGAUACCCGAGUAGUC